UACGUAGGGGGCAAGCGUUGUCCGGAUUUAUUGGGCGUAAAGCGCGUGUAGGCGGCCAGGUAGGUCCGCUGUGAAAACCCGAGGCUCAACCUCGGGACGUCGGCGGAAACCAUUUGGCUAGAGUCCGGAAGAGGAGAGUGGAAUUCCCGGGUGUGAGCGGUGAAAUGCGCAGAUAUCAGGAGGAACACCGGUGGCGAAGGCGGGUCUCUGGGCAGUGAACUGACGCUGGAGGAGCGAAAGCGUGGGGAGCGAACAGG
rnacentral:rRNA from 1 species